GAUGAACGCUGGCGGCGUGCCUAAUACAUGCAAGUCGAGCGAACGGACGAGAAGCUUGCUUCUCUGAUGUUAGCGGCGGACGGGUGAGUAACACGUGGAUAACCUACCUAUAAGACUGGGAUAACUUCGGGAAACCGUAGCUAAUACCGGAUAAUAUUUUGAACCGCAUGGUUCAAAAGUGAAAGACGGUCUUGCUGUCACUUAUAGAUGGAUCCGCGCUGCAUUAGCUAGUUGGUAAGGUAACGGCUUACCAAGGCAACGAUGCAUAGCCGACCUGAGAGGGUGAUCGGCCACACUGGAGCUGAGACACGGUCCAGACUCCUACGGGAGGCAGCAGUAGGGAAUCUUCCGCAAUGGGCGAAAGCCUGACGGAGCAACGCCGCGUGAGUGAUGAAGGUCUUCGGAUCGUAAAACUCUGUUAUUAGGGAAGAACAUAUGUGUAAGUAACUGUGCACAUCUUGACGGUACCUAAGCAGAAAGCCACGGCUAACUACGU
rnacentral:rRNA from 1 species